CGGCUACUCCGUGCCAGCAGCCGCGGUAAUACGGAGGGUGCGAGCGUUAAUCGGAAUUACUGGGCGUAAAGAGUGCGUAGGUGGUUGAAUAAGUUAUCUGUGAAAUCCCUGGGCUUAACCUGGGAGGGUCAGAUAAUACUGCUCAACUCGAGUAUGGGAGAGGGUAGUGGAAUUUCCGGUGUAGCGGUGAAAUGCGUAGAGAUCGGAAGGAACACCAGUGGCGAAGGCGGCUACCUGGCUCGAUACUGACACUGAGGCACGAAAGCGUGGGGAGCAAACAGGAUUAGAUACCCUGGUAGUCCACGCUGUAAACGAUGUCA
rnacentral:rRNA from 1 species